rnacentral:lncRNA from 1 species
UGGUGGUUAGGUGGAGUGUUAAUAUGCUGGUGGUCUUGAGUUCGAAUCCUUGUGCAUGUAAGGGAACUAUUUUUUGUUAUUUAUGCCGUGUGGGAGCUUGAAGGGAAGUAAAAUACUGAAGUGUUUGAGUGAAGUUUGAAUUCAGUUGUUGAAGGAUGUAAUGGACAGUUUUUGGGAAGUUUGAGAGAUAGUGGGAGUGUGGUGGACUGUUUUUAGGAGAAAAAUAAGGGAUUAAUGGUGGUUAUCCCAAAAACAAUCUGCACUUUUUGCCUUCCAUUCUCUCUGCCGAAUUCUCC